UGGCUCUCGCAUCGAUGAAGAACGCAGCGAAAUGCGAUAAGUAAUGUGAAUUGCAGAAUUCAGUGAAUCAUCGAAUCUUUGAACGCACCUUGCGCUCCUUGGUAUUCCGAGGAGCAUGCCUGUUUGAGUGUCUUGAAGUCAUCAACCCCCUCGGGUUUUCCCAAGGACGGUUGGAGUUGGAGGUCUGCGUCCGUGAGGACGCUCCUCUCAAAUGCGUCGGUUGGGCCUGCGGGUCGUACGCGAACGGGCGUUGUAGCAUCCUCGCUCUUGUUCGUGAAGUUCCCCUGCCGUUCUGCGGCGAGCCCGACCCCGACCUGCCUCUGGAGCGGCGGUCAACAAACUUUGAAAUCUGACCUCAAAUCAGGUAGGACUACCCGCUGA
rnacentral:misc_RNA from 1 species